rnacentral:rRNA from 1 species
CGCGUAGGCGGUCUGCUAAGUUGGAUGUGAAAACUCUGGGCUUAACCCAGAGCCUGCAUUCAAUACUGACAGGCUAGAGUUCUGGAGGGGAUAGCGGAAUUCCUGGUGUAGCGGUGAAAUGCGUAGAUAUCAGGAGGAACACCGGUGGCGAAGGCGGCUAUCUGGACAGAGUCUGACGCUGAGGCGCAAAGCUAGGGAGCAAACA